GCAUGUUUCCAUCAAGAACAAAUUAAAAAAAAAUCGUUUCCCUCAUAAUUCAUUUCAUUUCCUUCCGAAUUCAUCUUUUGUGAAAUUCUCCCGCUUUCAAAUUAGGGAAAUUUCGUUUCCCCCAUAAUUCAUUUUGUUUCCCUCCGAAUUCAUUUUUUGUGAAAUUCUCCCGCUUCCAAUAAGUUCAACGAUUCCUCUUCGUUGUUUAUUAAAAACUGUCAAGUUACACGAUUCCUCUUCUUUGUUCACCUUCAUUUGUGAUUAGGGUUUUUCACCAUUCUAUUAUACUCUUUCUGCGAUUAAACUGCUUCUCCGAUUCACUUGGGUGCGCGAUUCACCAUGGAGUGUUCACCUUGCUUGGAGAAGAUUUGACACCUGCAAGAGAUGGUACUCAUUCCACCAUUGAAUUAGUUGUUGAUCCCAAGUUUAAUCAUGGAGUACUUUAUGACCAGAUACAUCCGGGUGCUUUUGAACUGUCUUGCCUUCUCUUUAUGUUUAACAAACAAAAUCGUUUUCCCUAUUCUCUACUUUUUCAGUUUUGUAUGUGAUGCUGUGGAUGGCUGGUGUGCUUGAAGAUUCAAAUUUCCUUCCAUCUGCAGUUAAUGUUCUAUGAAACUGGUAAGCUGGCUGCAACCAUUGGCUACUUGUUUCAGCAGUAAAUGUUAGAUAACAUGUUCCUACGCAAGCUGGCUUUAGCCAAAUUGAUAUGAAUGUCCAAUAGUCUUUCUUGAACAAAACAUUGGUCUUUGCUGAGUUAUGUUAAAGACAUUUUUUUAGUCAGCUACAGGCCCUUCUAUGAAAUGACUAUUUUUUUAGUCAGCAGGUAUUGUUUGUCAGUUUAUGAUAGAUCCACUCACUAAUGGUAAUGUAAAUAGUGAUGCCCCCGUAACUGGUAUUGCGAAUGCAGAGUCCGAUUUUACAAGACUUUGAUUUGAAUACAAAAUUGCUCCAAAACGACUCAAGGCACCUCGGGCUUCCUUAAAACCUUCUGAUAUUGAAAAUAGAAAAAGAGUGGUUUUAGCAUCAACUAGUGGAUCAUCGGCUCUAUUUCGUUUUCCCGCAUGGCUUUAACUUUGGGAAAUUGUCUUUUUGGGCAACAAGUUUUGUGUGAUGCAAGUAUGCAGGUAGCAGCUGGUUCUUGGACUGAUAUGGCAGGUUUGCAUUGGCCAUGUUGCUGCCGUAACUGGUGUUGUUUGUGACCACAUACAAUGAGGUUUACAUCAUCUUCUAAUAUUGAAACAAUCUUCCUCCUUGGCUUUUCUUUUUUUAUUUUCCUUUUAUUGACUAGCAGAAUGCGCAUUCUCACCACCACUAGCACCAGCAGCAAAGUCUAUUGAGCAUUGCUUAGAAGUUUGAUCACUGGAUGAACCAAAUGACCAAAUGUUUGAAAAAAUGAUGUAGAGGGAUUGCACUGAGAUGCCACAAGUUUUGUGAAAAUGGUGUAACAUUGAGUGAACUGAAAAUUUUCAUCCAUGAAUUUCAUUCCAACACCAAUGCUUCCACCUUGAGGUUCACAUCAAUACUGAUGAAGAAGGAUGAGUGAAGACUGAUUAUUGAUGUUUGAAGACUUUUUUUGUGAUUCUAUUAUGUUAAGUUUGUAUUAGUUAUUGUGUGCCAACCUUUGGUUUUGGUGUCAACUAAACUAUUAAGUCACUGCUUUUUAAAUUUCAAGACAUGUUAAGAUAUUGAUGUAAUUGAAUGCCUCCAUUUGACGAAUGCUACCUUUUAAAUUUGCCU